AGCAGCCGCGGUAAUUCCAGCUCCAAUAGCGUAUAUUAAAGUUGUUGCAGUUAAAAAGCUCGUAGUUGAAUUUCGAGAUCAAUUUGUUGGUCGUGCCUCGGUACGUACUGGCAAUUUUGAUUUCUCCCUUCUGAAGAACCAUGAUGUCAUUAAUUUGGUGUCAUGGGGAAUCAGGACUGUUACUUUGAAAAAUUAGAGUGUUUAAAGCAGGCUCGCGCUUGAAUACAUUAGCAUGGAAUAAUGAAAUAGGACGUUUGAUUCUAUUUUGUUGGUUUCUAGGAUCGACGUAAUGAUUAAUAGGGAUAGUUGGGGGCAUUAGUAUUCAAUUGUCAGAGGUGAAAUUCUUGGAUUUAUUGAAGACUAACUACUGCGAAAGCAUUUGCCAAGGAUGUUUUCAUUAAUCAAGAACGAAAGUUAGGGGAUCGAAGACGAUCAGAUACCGUCGUAGUC
rnacentral:rRNA from 1 species